rnacentral:rRNA from 1 species
GGAUGAACGCUAGCGGCAGGCUUAACACAUGCAAGUCGAGGGGUAUAAGUCUUCGGAUUUAGAGACCGGCGCACGGGUGCGUAACGCGUAUGCAAUCUACCUUUCACAGAGGGAUAGCCCAGAGAAAUUUGGAUUAAUACCUCAUAGUAUAUAGAGUUGGCAUCAACACUAUAUUAAAGUCGCAACGGUGAAAGAUGAGCAUGCGUCCCACUAGCUUGUUGGUAAGGUAACGGCUUACCAAGGCUACGAUGGGUAGGGGUCCUGAGAGGGAGAUCCCCCACACUGGUACUGAGACACGGACCAUACUCCUACGGGAGGCAGCAGUGAGGAAUAUUGGACAAUGGGCGCAAGCCUGAUCCAGCCAUGCCGCGUGCAGGAUGACGGUCCUCUGGAUUGUAAACUGCUUUUGCACAGGAAGAAACAACUCUACGUGUAGAGUCUUGACGGUACUGUGAGAAUAAGGAUCGGCUAACUCCGUGCCAGCAGCCGCGGUAAUACGGAGGAUCCAAGCGUUAUCCGGAAUCAUUGGGUUUAAAGGGUCCGUAGGCGGUUUAGUAAGUCAGUGGUGAAAGCCCAUCGCUCAACGGUGGAACGGCCAUUGAUACUGCUAGACUUGAAUUAUUA